GUGCCAGCAGCCGCGGUAAAACGUAGGGGGCCAGCGUUGCUCGGAAUUACUGGGCGUAAAGGGUCUGUAGGCGGUGCGGUAAGUCCGGAGUGAAAUCUCCAGGCUCAACUUGGAGGCUGCUUUGGAAACUGCCGUGCUCGAGUGCGGGAGAGGCGCGUGGAAUUGCAGGUGUAGCGGUGAAAUGCGUAGAUAUCUGCAGGAACACCAGUGGCGAAAGCGGCGCGCUGGACCGCAACUGACGCUGAGAGACGAAAGCUAGGGGAGCAAACAGGAUUAGAUACCCUGGUAGUCCACGCCGUAAACGAUGGGCACUAGAUGCUUGGGGGAGCGACCCCCUGAGUGUCGUCGCUAACGCAUUAAGUGCCCCGCCUGGGGAGUACGGCCGCAAGGCUGAAACUCAAAGGAAUUGACGG
rnacentral:rRNA from 1 species